AACGCUGGCGGCAGGCUUAACACAUGCAAGUCGAACGAUGACUCUCUAGCUUGCUAGAGAAGAUUAGUGGCGGACGGGUGAGUAACAUUUAGGAAUCUGCCUAGUAGUGGGGGAUAGCUCGGGGAAACUCGAAUUAAUACCGCAUACGACCUACGGGUGAAAGGGGGCGCAAGCUCUUGCUAUUAGAUGAGCCUAAAUCAGAUUAGCUAGUUGGUGGGGUAAAGGCCCACCAAGG
rnacentral:rRNA from 1 species